GUAGAUUCAAGUAUUUGUAAUUUGUUAAUCACAAGGAGUUGUGAUUGUGAGAUACAAAUUAUAUCUGAUUGAAUCUUAAAUCAUCCGUGGUCGUAAGUAAUAACGAGAUACGGAUAUCGUUAUUACGGAUAGACCAUCACGUGUGGCAUUUCUUACUUGUGAAGUAAGUAGCUGAUCUCACAAGUUAAAGUGUGGUGACACUUAAAUGAACACGUGGAUGUUUGUUAUAGAACAAAACAUUGGAGACCCGUCAAGAGAUUCCACAAGGAUAACUAUCUGAGUGUCGGUGGUUAAUCUCUAACGUUCGGUAGUGAAAUUGGUCCUUUGACUUGAGGUCGUCAUGGUACCUUGUAUGAGGACAGCCAUACUUUGGCGGUGUUGGAUGUUGCUUUGAAAAGGGCCGCUAAUACGACAUCGUUCGGGUAUGUCAAGAAUCGUAU
rnacentral:lncRNA from 1 species